rnacentral:rRNA from 1 species
UUAAGCGACUAAGCGUACACGGUGGAUGCCCUGGCAGUCAGAGGCGAUGAAGGACGUGCUAAUCUGCGAUAAGCGUCGGUAAGGUGAUAUGAACCGUUAUAACCGGCGAUUUCCGAAUGGGGAAACCCAGUGUGUUUCGACACACUAUCAUUAACUGAAUCCAUAGGUUAAUGAGGCGAACCGGGGGAACUGAAACAUCUAAGUACCCCGAGGAAAAGAAAUCAACCGAGAUUCCCCCAGUAGCGGCGAGCGAACGGGGAGGAGCCCAGAGCCUGAAUCAGUGUGUGUGUUAGUGGAAGCGUCUGGAAAGGCGCGCGAUACAGGGUGACAGCCCCGUACACAAAAAUGCACAUGCUGUGAGCUCGAUGAGUAGGGCGGGACACGUGGUAUCCUGUCUGAAUAUGGGGGGACCAUCCUCCAAGGCUAAAUACUCCUGACUGACCGAUAGUGAACCAGUACCGUGAGGGAAAGGCGAAAGGAACCCCGGCGAGGGGAGUGAAAAAGAACCUGAAACCGUGUACGUACAAGCAGUGGGAGCACAGAGCAAUCUGUGUGACUGCGUACCUUUUGUAUAAUGGGUCAGCGACUUAUAUUCUGUAGCAAGGUUAACCGAAUAGGGGAGCCGAAGGGAAACCGAGUCUUAACUGGGCGUUAAGUUGCAGUGUAUAGACCCGAAACCCGGUGAUCUAGCCAUGGGCAGGUUGAAGGUUGGGUAACACUAACUGGAGGACCGAACCGACUAAUGUUGAAAAAUUAGCGGAUGACUUGUGGCUGGGGGUGAAAGGCCAAUCAAACCGGGAGAUAGCUGGUUCUCCCCGAAAGCUAUUUAGGUAGCGCCUCGUGAAUUCAUCUCCGGGGGUAGAGCACUGUUUCGGCAAGGGGGUCAUCCCGACUUACCAACCCGAUGCAAACUGCGAAUACCGGAGAAUGUUAUCACGGGAGACACACGGCGGGUGCUAACGUCCGUCGUGAAGAGGGAAACAACCCAGACCGCCAGCUAAGGUCCCAAAGUCAUGGUUAAGUGGGAAACGAUGUGGGAAGGCCCAGACAGCCAGGAUGUUGGCUUAGAAGCAGCCAUCAUUUAAAGAAAGCGUAAUAGCUCACUGGUCGAGUCGGCCUGCGCGGAAGAUGUAACGGGGCUAAACCAUGCACCGAAGCUGCGGCAGCGACACUGUGUGUUGUUGGGUAGGGGAGCGUUCUGUAAGCCUGUGAAGGUGUGCUGUGAGGCAUGCUGGAGGUAUCAGAAGUGCGAAUGCUGACAUAAGUAACGAUAAAGCGGGUGAAAAGCCCGCUCGCCGGAAGACCAAGGGUUCCUGUCCAACGUUAAUCGGGGCAGGGUGAGUCGACCCCUAAGGCGAGGCCGAAAGGCGUAGUCGAUGGGAAACAGGUUAAUAUUCCUGUACUUGGUGUUACUGCGAAGGGGGGACGGAGAAGGCUAUGUUGGCCGGGCGACGGUUGUCCCGGUUUAAGCGUGUAGGCUGGUUUUCCAGGCAAAUCCGGAAAAUCAAGGCUGAGGCGUGAUGACGAGGCACUACGGUGCUGAAGCAACAAAUGCCCUGCUUCCAGGAAAAGCCUCUAAGCAUCAGGUAACAUCAAAUCGUACCCCAAACCGACACAGGUGGUCAGGUAGAGAAUACCAAGGCGCUUGAGAGAACUCGGGUGAAGGAACUAGGCAAAAUGGUGCCGUAACUUCGGGAGAAGGCACGCUGAUAUGUAGGUGAAGUCCCUCGCGGAUGGAGCUGAAAUCAGUCGAAGAUACCAGCUGGCUGCAACUGUUUAUUAAAAACACAGCACUGUGCAAACACGAAAGUGGACGUAUACGGUGUGACGCCUGCCCGGUGCCGGAAGGUUAAUUGAUGGGGUCAGCGCAAGCGAAGCUCUUGAUCGAAGCCCCGGUAAACGGCGGCCGUAACUAUAACGGUCCUAAGGUAGCGAAAUUCCUUGUCGGGUAAGUUCCGACCUGCACGAAUGGCGUAAUGAUGGCCAGGCUGUCUCCACCCGAGACUCAGUGAAAUUGAACUCGCUGUGAAGAUGCAGUGUACCCGCGGCAAGACGGAAAGACCCCGUGAACCUUUACUAUAGCUUGACACUGAACAUUGAGCCUUGAUGUGUAGGAUAGGUGGGAGGCUUUGAAGUGUGGACGCCAGUCUGCAUGGAGCCGACCUUGAAAUACCACCCUUUAAUGUUUGAUGUUCUAACGUGGACCCGUGAUCCGGGUUGCGGACAGUGUCUGGUGGGUAGUUUGACUGGGGCGGUCUCCUCCUAAAGAGUAACGGAGGAGCACGAAGGUUGGCUAAUCCUGGUCGGACAUCAGGAGGUUAGUGCAAUGGCAUAAGCCAGCUUGACUGCGAGCGUGACGGCGCGAGCAGGUGCGAAAGCAGGUCAUAGUGAUCCGGUGGUUCUGAAUGGAAGGGCCAUCGCUCAACGGAUAAAAGGUACUCCGGGGAUAACAGGCUGAUACCGCCCAAGAGUUCAUAUCGACGGCGGUGUUUGGCACCUCGAUGUCGGCUCAUCACAUCCUGGGGCUGAAGUAGGUCCCAAGGGUAUGGCUGUUCGCCAUUUAAAGUGGUACGCGAGCUGGGUUUAGAACGUCGUGAGACAGUUCGGUCCCUAUCUGCCGUGGGCGCUGGAGAACUGAGGGGGGCUGCUCCUAGUACGAGAGGACCGGAGUGGACGCAUCACUGGUGUUCGGGUUGUCAUGCCAAUGGCACUGCCCGGUAGCUAAAUGCGGAAGAGAUAAGUGCUGAAAGCAUCUAAGCACGAAACUUGCCCCGAGAUGAGUUCUCCCUGACCCUUUAAGGGUCCUGAAGGAACGUUGAAGACGACGACGUUGAUAGGCCGGGUGUGUAAGCGCAGCGAUGCGUUGAGCUAACCGGUACUAAUGAACCGUGAGGCUUAACCUU